rnacentral:rRNA from 1 species
CAGUCGCAUCUGUUGGGAUUCAGCCUGGCUUCUGCCUGGUGUAUUUCCUUUCCGAUGGGUCAGCAUCAGUUUUGACCAAGGGAAAAAGACAUUUGGAAUGUGGCUGUCUUCGGGCAGUGUUAUAGCCUUGUGUUGUAUGUCUUGGUUGGGACUGAGGACUGCAGCGCGCCUUAUGGCCGGGGUUCGCGCCCCUCGGUACGCGCUUAGGAUGCUGGCAUAAUGGCUUUAAGCGACCCGUCUUGAAACACGGACCAAGGA